ACACAUGCAAGUCGAGCGGCAGCACAAGGGAGUUUACUCCUGAGGUGGCGAGCGGCGGACGGGUGAGUAAUGCCUAGGGAUCUGCCCAGUCGAGGGGGAUAACAGUUGGAAACGACUGCUAAUACCGCAUACGCCCUACGGGGGAAAGGAGGGGACCUUCGGGCCUUCCGCGAUUGGAUGAACCUAGGUGGGAUUAGCUAGUUGGUGAGGUAAUGGCUCACCAAGGCGACGAUCCCUAGCUGUCCUGAGAGGAUGAUCAGCCACACUGGGACUGAGACACGGCCCAGACUCCUACGGGAGGCAGCAGUGGGGAAUAUUGCACAAUGGGGGAAACCCUGAUGCAGCCAUGCCGCGUGUGUGAAGAAGGCCUUCGGGUUGUAAAGCACUUUCAGUAGGGAGGAAAGGGUGAGUCUUAAUACGGCUCAUCUGUGACGUUACCUACAGAAGAAGGACCGGCUAACUCCGUGCCAGCAGCCGCGGUAAUACGGAGGGUCCGAGCGUUAAUCGGAAUUACUGGGCGUAAAGCGUGCGCAGGCGGUUUGUUAAGCGAGAUGUGAAAGCCCUGGGCUCAACCUAGGAAUAGCAUUUCGAACUGGCGAACUAGAGUCUUGUAGAGGGGGGUAGAAUUCCAGGUGUAGCGGUGAAAUGCGUAGAGAUCUGGAGGAAUACCGGUGGCGAAAGCGGCCCCCUGGACAAAGACUGACGCUCAUGCACGAAAGCGUGGGGAGCAAAC
rnacentral:rRNA from 1 species